UUCACAACUCCCUUCUCUUUCCCUCUCUCAAUUCCCUGUCUAUCUCUUAACUUUUCUCCACCACCACCACCACCACCAGGCACUUUUCAGGCCAGAUCCACCACCACCCUCCCCAUCAACCUCCGUUGCAAGAUUUCAUCCACCACCACCAUCUAAGUGGUGGUUUUCUCAUCCAAACCAGUCACCCAAUACCAUUGUGUUCAUCGUCUCUGCACAAACACCUUACACCAUUUUCUUUAACAUCACAGCUGCCAAAAAUUCAUUGCUGAACACCCCUCCAUCUCGACUUAGGGUUUCGAUAGGAUGAUGAUGAAUAUUCUAUGAUGUUGGGUGAGAAUCUGUACCCGCUCACCGGAAAAUAACAUUCUUCCAUCGUGUAAUAUUGGAUGAUUUUAAUGGCAAACGUGAUCUGAAUUCGCAGUUUAAAGAGGAAACGAAUUUGUGAUCACACGAAUGCAAUCUGCUUAGUGUUUGAUUUGAAGAUUUACUGAUGGAAGUAAUUAAGGUUUGUGAUUGUGGUAGGAGCCAGGCUUCAGAUUUGGUGAUGGUGGUUGUUGGUGGGUGGUGGUGGUGGGUUUGAUGGUGAUGGCUGAUGGUUUGUUGAGAGAGAGAGUGUGUGUGUGUUCAAAGUGUGUGAGAGAGAGUGAAAGAGAAAAGAGAUAUUUAUAUUUGUUAUUAUUUUCUUUUAUUUGUACUAUAAAUAAUUAGGUAAAAAGACUAUGCUACCCUUAAGUGAAUAAAAUUAACUAAAAAUUUUAACAUUGUUAGUGCUAAAA